rnacentral:lncRNA from 1 species
CUAAAAUUACCCUGCAAGAGGAAGUUUGCAUAGCCAUUUUUGAUCGAGGGAGACUGAACUACAGUGUAUGUGGGAGUUAAGAAUUUAGAGAAGAGGGUGGGGUGGGGAGUCGUCAUUCAUCUUCAUUCGUGGGAGUUUUUUUUUGUUUUUUUAUUUUCAUUGACAAAAAAUUGAAAGGGAUUCAAAAAAAUUAUCUGUUUGUCGAUAAAAUGAGGCAGUACCGUUGUCCAGCGUUUCAGUCCCGUUUUCGAACUGAAAUAGCAAUUUUAUAG